GUUGUCCACCUGGCCGCGGAGGUUCCGCGCGGACUCCGAGAGGAGCCUAGUUUUUUGAGCUGCGCAGGCGCCGUUGCCUGUUUCUCCUCACGCCGCCCUUUAAGAAGCCCGAAGGCUAUGACCCUCUGAACUGAGUAAUUAGACAUUACACGUUCUACAAGAGAAGUACUAGGGAAGUGAAGGCUUGAAAGGAGGACUGGGGAGCCAGAGGACUCAGCAGCAGGCAAUCCCAGAAGCCAAGCACACACAGCCCACAAGCUGGGACCACCAAGAAGCAGCUAUACCAGCCACAGGUGUACAUGUAUAAAGACAGAAGAGCAACAAUCUGUGGAAGACUGGAUUUUCUUUAUAUACUUCAACCAACACAACAUAGUACAUCAAAUUGAAUGCAGAAACAGAAAUAAGAAUCUAGCUGGCUUCUUUAAGCCAGACAUGAAAAGAUUGGCAAUAAUGCAAAAGAUGACAAUUUUAUCUCUACGUGUUUUUUUUGUUUUCAUUAAAAUAUGUUAUUUAUAU